UACGUAGGUGGCAAGCGUUGUCCGGAUUUAUUGGGUUUAAAGGGUGCGUAGGCGGCCCUGUAAGUCAGUGGUGAAAUACGGCAGCUCAACUGUCGAGGUGCCAUUGAUACUGCGGGGCUUGAGUACUGAUGAGGUAGGCGGAAUUGACGGUGUAGCGGUGAAAUGCUUAGAUAUCGUCAAGAACACCGAUAGCGAAGGCAGCUUACCAAGCAGUAACUGACGCUGAGGCACGAAAGUGCGGGGAUCAAACAGG
rnacentral:rRNA from 1 species